rnacentral:rRNA from 1 species
UACGAACUGUGCAAACGUUAUUCGGAAUCACUGGGCUUAAAGGGUGCGUAGGCGGCUUGUUAAGUAGGGUGUGAAAGCCCCCGGCUCAACCGGGGAAUUGCGCCCUAAACUGGCGGCCUUGAGUAUGGCAGGAGGUGUGGUGGAACUCCGAGUGUAGAGGUAGAAAUUCGUAGAAUAUUCGGAAGGAAACACCGAGUGGCGAAGG